rnacentral:rRNA from 1 species
UACGUAGGGGGGCAUAGCGUUGAUCCGGAAUUGUGGCGUAAAGCGCGUGUAGGCGGUCCGGUAAGUCCGCUGUGAAAGUCGAGGGCUCAACCCUCGAAUGCCGGUGGAUACUGUCGGGCUAGAGUACGGAAGAGGCGAGUGGAAUUCCUGGUGUAGCGGUGAAAUGCGCAGAUAUCAGGAGGAACACCAAUUGCGAAGGCAGCUCGCUGGGACGUUACUGACGCUGAGACGCGAAAGCGUGGGGAGCAAACAGG